rnacentral:misc_RNA from 1 species
AUCUUCUUCUUCUUUCCUCUCUUCUCCUCUUCUUCCAUUCUAUUCUUCUAUCAACAGUCAACAUGACACCUCUCUCUCACACCGUGUUUUUCCCCUUUUUUUUUCUUUUUAGCUUAUUUCUUUCUUUUCUCUCCUCCUUAUUCUCUCUUUUUCUAUUAUGUUGUACUUCCUUAUAUUCUGCACGCCCUUUUUAAACCAGGCAAUACAA